GCUUCAUUUUCUUCAUUUUUUUCCUUAUCUUCUUCCAUUUGUAAAGGAGGACUUUUCAAAGACAUGUCUUUUAUAUCCUUUUCAAGAGAACCUGUAUCAUCAUUUAGAUCUACUUCAUUUGAUUUAAAAAUAUUAGUUUCAUUAAAAACAACAUGAAUGAAUUCUUCUGUAACUAAUAUUCUUCUAUUAACUACUCUAUAUGCU
rnacentral:lncRNA from 1 species